GACGAACGCUGGCGGCGUGCUUAACACAUGCAAGUCGAACGGAAAGGCCCUGCUUUUGUGGGGUGCUCGAGUGGCGAACGGGUGAGUAACACGUGUGUAACCUGCCCUUGUCUUUGGGAUAACUUCAGGAAACUGGGGCUCAUACCGGAUAGGAUCUCCUGCUGCAUGGUGGGGGUUGGAAAGUUUCGGCGGUUGGGGAUGGACUCGCGGCUUAUCCGCUUGUUGGUGGGGUAGUGGCUUACCAAGGGUUUGACGGGUAGCCGGCCUGAGAGGGUGGACGGGCACAUUGGGACUGAGAGACGGAGCAGAAGGCAACGGGAGGCAGCAGGGGGGAAUAUUGCAGAAUGGGGGGGAGCCUGAUGCGGAAACGCCGCGUGCGGGAUGACGGCCUUCGGGGGGUAAACAGAUUUGGAAUGUGACGAAGAGGGAGUGACGGUAAUGGGUAAAGAAGCACCGGCUAACUACGUG
rnacentral:rRNA from 1 species